rnacentral:lncRNA from 1 species
CAAUAAAUCUAAUUCUGCUUUAGCGGCAAUCACUGCUGCUUUUGCUGCAGCCUCACAUUUAGCUGCACGUGCCUCGGCAUCAUUUCCAGCUUCUUUAGCAGCAGUCAGUUCUGCUUUCAGGCAGGUGAGCUUUUCCUCUGCAGAGGCUAGCAUUUUCUCCUGUGCUCUCAUACCAGCCUUUGCUGCAGAUUCAAGUGUCUCUCUCUGCUUCGUAAGUAUAGUAUUAGCACGCAACUCAGCCUCUGUGAUAGCCUCUUUCAGUCUGAUGCUGGCAGCCCUUGUUUGCUCCUCUGCUGCCUUUGCCAACACUUCGGCGUGCGUCAUCUCCAACUCUCG